GGGAGCGGCUUCGGGCUUCCCAGUGUUGCUGCCUCGUUGCAAGUUUCGGCCCCGAGGGAAGCUGCUGCCUGGUGUGGUGGUGUAGUGGAGGGGGCAAAAGUUUUUCUCGUGCGCCAUCGGCCGGAAGAAGUGGGGGUUGCUCUAGCGAACAAGUUUUGUUGUCUUCUGUUUGGUGUUGGAGUGCUCGCUGGCUCGUUGAUGGGCCCUUGGGACGAACCUUUUGCCUCGUGGCGUCGUCGCAACCGUGAGUGUGUGCCUUGUCUUCCACUGGCGCCCGUUCGUAAAGCGAGCGCGGACGUACCGUCCCGUCGCGGCGUGGCCUAGGCGCAGCUGUUCGCUUCGGCGCGGGUGAAACCGUCCCGUCGGAUUCGUUCGAAGGAAGCUCGACCUCGGAGCGCGCUCGCGCUGGUGUCGUUUCGACGAAGCGCGACCAAAAAAACAGAAAUACGGAGAGAAGCCUUCUCCCAAGCGAAAGCAAGUGCAAGAUCGCCGCCGCAGCUGUGUAGGGGUACGCCCAGCUGCCACCGUUGUGGUUCCAGAGAAAGGAUCGGUCGCCACAGCCUUGGACUGAACACCGUUCACCGACUGUAAACAGAACGCUUCUACCAGUGGCCAGACAGUUGCCCAGACUUUGCUCUGUAGAACUCGCAGCGAGAUCGGAGCGCAGGCCUGCAAAGCCUGAUUGAUCCGAGAGGCGUCCCUUUUCCUCCCGUCCUUUCGGUCUCGCGAUACCC
rnacentral:lncRNA from 1 species